ACACCCAGAGAACUUAGCAGAGAUGCUUUGGUUCCUUCGGGAACUCUGAGACAGGUGCUGCAUGGCUGUCGUCAGCUCGUGUUGUGAAAUGUUGGGUUAAGUCCCGCAACGAGCGCAACCCUUAUCCUUUGUUGCCAGCGGUCCGGCCGGGAACUCAAAGGAGACUGCCAGUGAUAAACUGGAGGAAGGUGGGGAUGACGUCAAGUCAUCAUGGCCCUUACGAGUAGGGCUACACACGUGCUACAAUGGCGCAUACAAAGAGAAGCGACCUCGCGAGAGCAAGCGGACCUCAUAAAGUGCGUCGUAGUCCGGAUUGGAGUCUGCAACUCGACUCCAUGAAGUCGGAAUCGCUAGUAAUCGUAGAUCAGAAUGCUACGGUGAAUACGUUCCCGGGCCUUGUACACACCGCCCGUCACACCAUGGGAGUGGGUUGCAAAAGAAGUAGGUAGCUUAACCUUCGGGAGGGCGCUUACCACUUUGUGAUUCAUGACUGGGGUGAAGUCGUAACAAGGUAAGCGUAGCGAG
rnacentral:rRNA from 1 species